GAAUAUAUCUACUCGGUUUUCGAAUUAGGAUUGUGAUUGUGUUGAAUUCUGCUGGGAAACGAUGAUGGGAGAACUAGCAAGCAGAUCAGAGCUGCGGAAGGAAUUAGUGAGAGAACGCCGUCGUAUAAGGGACAGGCAAAGAAGACAAUCUAUGAGCCUUGAGGAAAAAGAAAAGCAUCUAGCUAGACGCCGAAGAAAUUAUCAAUUGAGGAGGGAAAGGGCUGAAACUGCUCGAUCAAACCCUCUUCCGUUGUCAAUUCAAUUUCCUUUAAGUAAUGCCUUAACUUGUGUUUCUAAUGCUAGUCCUCAGUUUAAUGCUGCUGAUGCUUUUGUAAGAUCCAAUGAUGAACAACGACCAAUGCUCCAUAACAAAAGCUCCCACUGUUUGGAAAUCCCUGCUCAUAAGCUAGCUAUUUUACCUGCAAAGGUGCGUUUGAAUCGCAUAAAAAAUCUGGCUCGAGUGAUAAAUGAUCCUGUUGGUAAUGGGGUUGCAGUUGGAGGGAUGAUGAAGGAAAAUGGAACUUCCAAUUGUUUAACAUCAAAAGGAUUGCGAUUGAAUCGUAUUAAACAUCUUGCUCGAACAAUAAGUCCUGCUGGGUAAUACACUCUUAGUCAAAGCCAUCAAAGCAUAACAAAAGGUAAGAAUACACAUUUACUUAUAUAUAAUGUACAAUACACACAUGCGAUCUCUAGAUUAGCUGAAAAGAGUCAUCUCUAAAGAGAAACUCAUUUCAUAGUAAUUUAUAUAACUUUAAACAGUCCAAUAAACUUAUAGUUGAGGAUGCUAUUUGUACCAAACUAUCAUUUUGGUGGCAUUCGGAUAUACUAAUAGUUGCUUUUACGAUGUAAUUUAGUUGGUUCAACCCGAGUACUCUUUUGAGAUGGAUUAUGACAU